GCGAGCGGAGAGAGGGGGACAGAGCGACCACAGAGGAGGGAGACACAGGGCCUGACAAAUUGGAGAGAGAUGGGAGCUACGGGUUUGGACUGAGUGAGAGAGAGAUUAAGGUAGGUGCUCUGCCAGGAUCUAUGGAAUUUUCUCCCAUUUUAGAGAGAGAGAUGGCCAGGGAGAGAGAUACAGAGCGGAAAGCAUGGGUGUGUGUAUUCUUUAGGGUUAACGGGUUACGCAUAGAGGCGGUGAAGAGGGGAUGGGUGAGGGACGAAUGGCAGGGUCUGGGUUUUCAAUUUUCUCCCUUGAUUCAAAAGGUAAUGAACUGCCUUUUUUUCAUUGUUUAGUGUCUAAUUGCCAUUUGCUUUGUUAAAAUUUUCAUUUAUAUUUUGUUCUUUCAUUCAAAUUGUAAUGGAUGUUUAUCAAUUGUGAGUUGGGUGGUGGGAUUAUGUCUCUGUUUUUGUGAAUUAGGGUCUUCCAUUGCUUUAAUUUGUUUGUUUCUUGAUUAAUUUUUGUCUGAUUGAUCCUUUUUCUGUUUUAGAAUUGUUACAAGUUUUUUGUUCCUUAAUUAAAAUUGUCAUAGAUCUUUUGUAGAUUGUUCAGCUCACCUUAGUGUUAACUCUUUUUCAGUUUAUUGUUUUUAAUUGUUGUUUACUGUUUGAUUAGCCGUUCCAUUUAUUAAAAUUGUCAUAGAUAUUUUUUCUAUCAUUAAUGCUAUCAUAGAUAUUUUAUAUUGUUUACUUAGCUAUUAGGGUUUGCUCUUAGUCUUUUCUAGGUUGUUCAGAUCACCUCUAGGGUUAGCUAUAUGUCCACAUUUUUUUCCUACAACUUAAUCCGUUCUCCUAACAACCAUAAUGUAGAUAAAUUUGUGGUGCUCCAUUGCACAUAGCCAGUAAGCUUCAUUAAAGGUGUCAUAGAUAUUUAUUAAUUGUUUAGAUAACUAUUUGAGUUUUGCUCUUAGUCUUUGUGAAUUAAGGGAUUACACUGUCUUGAUUUUUGUGUUUUUCAGAUAUUUUUUUUCCCUUUGCUUAUAGGUAAACAAAAUUCAAACUCCUUUUUAAGUUUAUUGUUUUUAAAUUUGGGAGUUUUGGUUGUUUAGUUAACUGUUCAGUUCACUGUUAGAGUCAGAUUUCUGUCUUUAUAAAUAAAGGGGUUGCACUGUGCUCAUUGUGUGUUUCUUCAUACUUUCCCACUAAUUGCUUCUCACCAAAUCACCUUCAGGUUCUUUUUCCAUUUCACAUCAUUCGAAUAUCUCUAUGUUGCUAGGUUGUUUUUCCAUUUCUUGGUUGCUUCUGUAUUUGUGUGAUGCACUUUUUAAUUUAUUUUUCAUAUGCAUGUAGAUCCAACACAAGCAUACAGAUCAAACCAUUCAUUCACACAGCAGCCACCAAAUCAACCAUUACUAAGGUAUUUGUCUAUCCAUUUUAAAAUUUUGUUCUGUUUUGUUAACUUUUAUACAAACUAAAUUAUAAUACAAAUCUCUAACUGUGUUUGAAACUUUCUAACAACCAAUAUGUACAACAGGUUUAAAUGUCUAUUUGUUGUUUUUAGAAAUGGUAUUUUUUUCAUUUAACUCGACUUACUACGCAUCACAGACUAUUACAUCACCACAAUGGAUAUCUUUGUUCCAUCCUUUCUCCAUGUUGUGCCAUUUGACAAUCCUUAGUUCUGCAUUCCUUGAUUUUUUUUGCUGUUUCAAGCUUGAACAACCUGUCAUGUUCUUUUCUGAUCGUUUAUAAUUGUAUAUUUGCAAAGAUGCAUGGCUAUUAGACCUUCAAUUAGAGAUCAGCAUGAUUGCAUUGUCAUAAGACUGAAGCUAUACAAUUACUAUUUGCUAAAUAUUACUUCUGUCAUUUAAUUGAGGUUCGUCUAGAAGAGGACUCAGGCAUGUUGUUAGUGUAGAUUUACAUUUCAUAUUACUUCAUGUUGUUAGUGUAGAUUUACAUUUCAUAUUACUUUCGUGCAGUAUUUGAUUAUAAGUCAUGAACAAGCUAAUGUUUUUUCAAACUUUACAGAUGCCUAUGUUCACAUAUGAAUAAUUUGGCUUAUGGAUAUUAAUGUUGUAAGCAGAUAUGGUAAUUGUUCUAUCUAUGGAAUAUGUAUUUAAGGUCUCAUUGGUUUAACAUUAUCAAAACUUUUGCAUAUCUCUGAAGUUUUACGAAUGCUUAUAUAUACAUAUUAUCUAUAUACUAAAACCCGGUGAAAAGCACUGUUCACGAGCAGUGUAAUGACUAAAAUGCCCCUGAUCUAACGCUCACUUUUUUGGCAUUUUGAAGAUGCUACAUGAAAUGUCGUUUUUACCCCUUUCCUUUAUCCUUUUUUUAACCCGCGUGUUGCUCGGCUUUGCCGUUUUACCCUUUUGAUUCUAGGUAUUUGCUUCCUUUUUCUCUCCUGACUUCUCCAUGCUUCCCUGCAAUCCCUGUCGCCAUCUCACCUUCGAUCCAUGUGGCACAAAACACAAUAAAAAAUUAUAAAUAAAUUAGAUGCAUGCACAAAAUAAUUAUUAAAAUUUAUGAGAAGCCACCUGUCUCUCAUUGCUUUGCCUUUUGGUUAUUUUAUUUUUAGGUUUUGCUUUUUUUUUUGUCUUCCACUCAGAUCCUGCAAUGGUUUGUGGCAAACAACACAUU
rnacentral:lncRNA from 1 species